rnacentral:rRNA from 1 species
GGGGCUAAACCAUGCACCGAAGCUGCGGCAGCGACGCUGAUGCGUUGUUGGGUAGGGGAGCGUUCUGUAAGCCUGUGAAGGUGGCCUGUGAGGGUUGCUGGAGGUAUCAGAAGUGCGAAUGCUGACAUAAGUAACGAUAAAGCGGGUGAAAAGCCCGCUCGCCGGAAGACCAAGGGUUCCUGUCCAACGUUAAUCGGGGCAGGGUGAGUCGACCCCUAAGGCGAGGCCGAAAGGCGUAGUCGAUGGGAAACGGGUUAAUAUUCCCGUACUUGGUGUUACUGCGAAGGGGGGACGGAGAAGGCUAUGUUGGCCGGGCGACGGUUGUCCCGGUUUAAGCGUGUAGGUGUGUGUUCCAGGUAAAUCCGGUUCACUUUAACACUGAGGCGUGAUGACGAGGCACUACGGUGCUGAAGCAACAAAUGCCCUGCUUCCAGGAAAAGCCUCUAAGCAUCAGGUAACAUCAAAUCGUACCCCAAACCGACACAGGUGGUCAGGUAGAGAAUACCAAGGCGCUUGAGAGAACUCGGGUGAAGGAACUAGGCAAAAUGGUGCCGUAACUUCGGGAGAAGGCACGCUGACAUGUAGGUGAAGUGAUUUACUCACGGAGCUGAAGUCAGUCGAAGAUACCAGCUGGCUGCAACUGUUUAUUAAAAACACAGCACUGUGCAAACACGAAAGUGGACGUAUACGGUGUGACGCCUGCCCGGUGCCGGAAGGUUAAUUGAUGGGGUCAGCGCAAGCGAAGCUCCUGAUCGAAGCCCCGGUAAACGGCGGCCGUAACUAUAACGGUCCUAAGGUAGCGAAAUUCCUUGUCGGGUAAGUUCCGACCUGCACGAAUGGCGUAAUGAUGGCCAGGCUGUCUCCACCCGAGACUCAGUGAAAUUGAACUCGCUGUGAAGAUGCAGUGUACCCGCGGCAAGACGGAAAGACCCCGUGAACCUUUACUAUAGCUUGACACUGAACAUUGAGCCUUGAUGUGUAGGAUAGGUGGGAGGCUUUGAAGUGUGGACGCCAGUCUGCAUGGAGCCGACCUUGAAAUACCACCCUUUAAUGUUUGAUGUUCUAACGUGGACCCGUGAUCCGGGUUGCGGACAGUGUCUGGUGGGUAGUUUGACUGGGGCGGUCUCCUCCUAAAGAGUAACGGAGGAGCACGAAGGUUGGCUAAUCCUGGUCGGACAUCAGGAGGUUAGUGCAAUGGCAUAAGCCAGCUUGACUGCGAGCGUGACGGCGCGAGCAGGUGCGAAAGCAGGUCAUAGUGAUCCGGUGGUUCUGAAUGGAAGGGCCAUCGCUCAACGGAUAAAAGGUACUCCGGGGAUAACAGGCUGAUACCGCCCAAGAGUUCAUAUCGACGGCGGUGUUUGGCACCUCGAUGUCGGCUCAUCACAUCCUGGGGCUGAAGUAGGUCCCAAGGGUAUGGCUGUUCGCCAUUUAAAGUGGUACGCGAGCUGGGUUUAGAACGUCGUGAGACAGUUCGGUCCCUAUCUGCCGUGGGCGCUGGAGAACUGAGGGGGGCUGCUCCUAGUACGAGAGGACCGGAGUGGACGCAUCACUGGUGUUCGGGUUGUCAUGCCAAUGGCACUGCCCGGUAGCUAAAUGCGGAAGAGAUAAGUGCUGAAAGCAUCUAAGCACGAAACUUGCCCCGAGAUGAGUUCUCCCUGAGACUUAGAGUCUCCUGAAGGAACGUUGAAGACGACGACGUUGAUAGGCCGGGUGUGUAAGCGCAGCGAUGCGUUGAGCUAACCGGUACUAAUGAACCGUGAGGCUUAACCUUACA